UACGUAGGGGGCUAGCGUUGUCCGGAUUUAUUGGGCGUAAAGAGCGUGUAGGCGGCCAGGUAGGUCAGCUGUGAAAACUCGAGGCUCAACCUCGAGACGUCGGCGGAAACCAUCUGGCUAGAGUCCGGAAGAGGAGAGUGGAAUUCCUGGUGUAGCGGUGAAAUGCGCAGAUAUCAGGAAGAACACCCGUGGCGAAGGCGGCUCUCUGGUACGUGACUGACGCUGAGACGCGAAAGCGUGGGGAGCGAACAGG
rnacentral:rRNA from 1 species